CCACUAGCCACAUGUGGCUAUUUAAAUUUAAAUUAUAUUUGAAAAAUAAAAAUGUAGUUCCUCAGUUGCACUAGCUGCAUUUCAACUGUUCAAUAACCAUAUGUUAGUGACUACCAUGUUGGACAGCGCCCAUCAAGAGCAUUUCCAUCAUCGCAGUAAGUUGUAUUGGACAGCACUGACUUACACGAUCGGUCACCAUGUUUCUAUCUUGCAGCGUGGCUUUGGAAGAGCUCAUGCUAUGAAACAAGCAUGGGCGUAGCUCUUUUUCAGUUGUUUGUCUGUGCUUAUAUGAUUGGUAUUGUCUUCAAUCCAGUGUGUUUUUUUUUUUUUUGUAGGAAUCUUUGCAAGACAGUUGUCUACUUUGUUGUGUUUGGUUUAGUUAAACCUAGAGGAUAUAACCCAUAAGUCCAUUUAACUGGGCACAUAUAAACUGCAAUAUGUCAGAAUACAGGAACAAGCGAGGAUACCACUGUCCCCAACCCCUUGCUGUUGUGAAAUACCUCACAUAUUGUCUGACACAGGAUUCAAGUGAGAAUCUCAAUGUCAUUUGUAUGUAGAUAGAUCCAUAUAAGCAGAUGUUCUAAACAGUCUUCUUAGAUCUCUUGCAUGCUCCUUGUAGUACAUAGGCACCCUACUUGUAAGGUCCCUACUGUAGAUCUUUGACCUUACACUUUUGACCUGUUUAUCCUUCUUCAGUGCCUCGCUUUUUAAAUCAUUGUUCCUCUGGCCUGUGCUUUGCAAAAGAAUAAGCAAACCUUAGGGCUUGAGACCAGCAGGAUUUGCUCAGCAGGGGAACUGAAAUCUUAACAGGACACAGAUGUUUACUAUGUGGGAUACAGGGCCAGAAGGAGACAAUAAAUAAAAGGAUAAAAAUAAGAGUUCUUCAAAGUUGCUUUCUUUGAUUCUUUUAAGAAAAAUUGUGGUUGCUUCUUUGGCAAGAUAAAAAUCCUUUCUUCUUAACAUUUCUUGCAAACACAUUUUCUUCUUUUAGCACCACUCUUUUUUUUUUUUGGUGGAUAAUUUUUUUUGAACUUCUUUUUAAUUGAAGUAUAGUUAAUGUACAAUAUUUUAUGUUACAGGUGUACAAUAUAGUGAUUCACAAUUUUUAAAAGUUAUACUCCAUUUAUAGUUAUUAUAGAAUAUUGGCUAUUUUCCCUGUGUUGUACAAUUUAUCCUUGUAACUUUUAUACAUAAUAGUUUGUACCUCUUAAUCCCCUACCUCUAUGUUGCCUCUCCCCUCUUCCCUCUAUCUGCUGAUAAUGACUAAUUUGUUCUCUAUGUCUGAGUCUUGUUUCUUUCUUUGUAUUAAACUUAGUGUCACAUUUUCUGUUUAUUUACCAUUUCACUAGAAAUUCCUCCAUGCAAUCAUAAAAAAAUAUGACAUUUUAAUUGAAUUUAUUUCACAAUUGAUAGGGCCUGAUAUUUGUUUUUUUAAUGUGUAUGAGACAAUAAAAUUGGGAUUAAUGUAAUUCCUUUGCCAAUACUUUUUUUUUUGGCUGUGUUGGGUCUUCGUUGCUGCCCGCAGGCUUUCUCUAGUUGCGAUGAGCGGGGGCUACUCUUCGUUGCGGUGCGCGGGCUUCUCGUUGCAGUGGCUUCUCUUGUUGCGGCACACGGGCUCUAGGUGUGCGUCUUCAGUAGUUGCAGCAUGCGGGCUCAGUAGUUGAGCUUUGCCAAUACUUGUCAAACAGUUGUCUGUGUAGUGUUUUAAAGUGAAAGGUGACAUGAAACUAGUAGACUUCAUUAUCUCUUGAGAAUACACUGUGCUUCUCAAUGGGAGCACGAUUAGGCAGCUGGGGUAUUUUGUGAAGGACUGUCCCACGUGUUACUGGACAUUUAACACUCUGGUCCCAGCCCGAUAACAGGCCCAGUCAUUGCAACAGUCAGAACUUUCUUACCUAUCUUCAAAUGCCUCCCCUGGAGUGGGUACUGCUCGGGUUGUGGACUGUCUGGCUAUCAGUAUUUUCUCCAGACUCUCAUUACUGUCUCUCAGCUUAAGGGAGAGAAUAUUACGAAAAAUCUCUAGUUAAAAUUGAAUAAAAAUUUCCAUUCAUAAAAAACAAAACAAAACAAAGCCUUAUAAUUUCUAACAAUAGCUCUUACUCAUUAAGCAUCUACCAUGAGCCUGGCACUGUGCUACAUACCUUAUGUGCAUCUUCUUGUUUCAUACUCAUUGUAACAUGUGACAUGAGCGGCAGUAUUCUCAUUUUACAGAUGGAUGAGGAAACCAUUAUUAAAUGCAUAAUAUGUGAUUAAAAUUUAUCAUCCAAUAUUUGUUAAGUACAUUCUACGUACUAAGCACUGAGAUAAAUUCAUGAACAAUAUAGACACAUUUUGCCCUCAAUUAACUUGCCCUGAGUUUACACAGCUCAAUAAGAAGCAUGAAGAUUUUAACCCAGAUCUGUCAUUUCUAAAACUGUCUCCUAUUUCUACCACUACCUCUACCCCAAUUGUCUUCCUGAAGAAGAAUUUAGUCAGCCAGAGUCAUUGUAACUGAUGAACUGUAAAUCUAUGUAGGUGACAAACAGCACUCGGCAGUAAGCUUUCCGUUCUUUCUCCUCCUUAGGGUUGCUGGGGUCCAUGUGAACAGCCCUCUUGAGGGUAGUGCAGUGUACAGCCUGCACGGCUGUAAAUGAGCAAGAGACAUCUCUGCCUGGGAUACUUUCCCCUUUCCUAUACAAUGCUUUCCUGACUAAGGAAGUUGUACCUUGUAUUGAGACUCCACUAAAAUACCUCUUCUGACCCAUAGGUUUUUCAUGUUCUAAUCAACCAACCUGCCUCUCUCCCUCCCUUCCAUCCGUCCUUCCUUCCUUCCUUUCACUCAUGCAUACGAGUAUUUUUGAAUGCCCACUACACUGUGAUCAUAGUGUCAAUAAGAUAGACAGUCCUAUCCUCAAAGAUCACACCUCUCAGAACUAGUCUUUCCACUCCCACCUUUCUCAUCGUGUGUAUAACUCAUAUAGUGCUGCAUAGUUUAUUAGGUACUAGUGUGCCCUUCAGUACUUUACUAUGAUGGCAUUUGUUUGGAACAUUGAUUAGAGUAACACUGAUGGGCAUUCACUUAAGUGACUUUCUUAUUUUGAUUGGCAUGAUAGCUGCAAGUUUGUAUGCCAGUGUAUAGGCUGAUGUGCAGGGUUUGGUACAAAAGAGAAUUGCAUAAAAUAUAUUAUUUCAUUUUCUUACUUUCAAACAUUGAGGAGUAGACUCUAGAGGGCUUUGUUUUUUCAGCUAGUUGCCUAUAUCAGAUGUUCUAUGUAACAUGCACAUAUUAGUUAUUAUGCAUAUAGUAGAGAGGGAGGAAAGGACUCGGCAAACGGGAUGGGUCAGAAAGGUUAAAAAAAUUUUUUAAUUUCUCAAGAUAAACUUUUACCCCUAAAACAUGUUCCUUGGCUAUGUGAAGUCCUUCCCAUUUGAUUAUGAGUCACUGAGGGUAGAGGUCAUGUCACUAUCCUGUUUAUGAUGCUUAUUCUCCCUUAACCAUCUAGUAUCACUGCAAGUCACUGUUGGAACUUCACAUGGGCUCAGAUUGUAUUGAAUUGACUAUGAGAGCAGAAGGUGAUUUCAUCACCUUCUGAAUAAUAUUGUGGAGAGAUCAUGGUUCUGGAAAACAGGAAACCUGGAUUCUAUGUCCCAACUGGAAUAUCUAGUGUUGUGCCCUCAAAUAUAUCACCCAACCUCACUGGGGCCAGUUUUCUUGAAAAAUGAGAAGACUGGAUAAGAUUGGCUCAAAGUUUCCAAAAUCCUGUGAUUAUUCUGUUACCACUCUACAGUAAAUGCGUAGGGAAAUUUACACAUUGAGUAAGAAAUCUAGGUUGUAGAGUCCUUAUUUCCAUUUUUAAAUAUAGGUAGCCUUGAUGGGUUUUAUUUGAACUUUCUAAAAAGGACUUAUAUUUCCACUUCAGACUGUCUGCAAAUGCUAGGAGCAUAUGCCUAAGACAUUUUGUAGUUAGAUAUGUGAACAUGAAAGUUUUCAAAUGACCGUAAACUAUUUUUUCUUGUCUUUUUGGAAAGACUCAUCUUUUUCCCAAGACCGGCUCCCAGUGAUGCUCAUCAGCUGCUAUGAUUUGUUUUUAGAACUUUUACAGACUCCACAGUCAUCAAACCCACACCAAGAGGAGCCAACUAUUAUCCUAAAAGGUGAUUGCCUGGUGUUUCAGAAGACUUAACGCAAGAGCUGGCUACUUCUUCACUUCUUUUUCCAAUUAUUCCUGCAGGGGCUCUAGCUGAGGCGUGCCUUCGCAUGUCUAUAAGGGGGAAAAAAUGUGAAUCUUAAGUAGAGUACAAAAAGUAAUUCAGGAGCAAUGGAACCGGUUAAAGACCUCUACCCAGUUGUCCUAAUGACUCUUUACAUUGUUACUGCUUAGGCUUUGGAGUCCACAAGGCUGCCUUUGAAUCUUGCCUCUGUGAUGUAAAACACUGGUUAGGUGCCCACCCAGUCGUAUUCGUUCUGUCCUCUUGCUUACAGAACCUUAAUUUUGUGUGCGUGAAAAUGUGUCUCCUACUUAUUUUCCUUUCAAGCUUCACUUCAGCUCAAGGGGCCCUAUAUGACAGAACCCUGGCCAUCUGCUGGGGUUCUGUCACAGCUUUCCUGAUAAAAAGAGGACACUUAUGGCUCAUACCCUCUUCUGCCUUAAACAUUGACAUGAUGUCUGGAACUGCAGCAGCUAUCAUGUGCUUCUGCAGAAAAGGCUGAAAGAGUCACAGAUACCAGCCCCCUGACAUUGUUGAAAAGCUAAUCCAACAUCUGCAUUCACCAUAUUCCAGAUUGUCAAUUAUGUAGAAGAAUAAACCGUUAUUUGUUUAAGCCAUGAUAUUCAUAUAGUCCUUUGCUUGAAGUUGAAUACAUUCCUAACUGCUACAGGAAGUACCAUUCUUAUCUCAGAGGAAACUGAGGCCCAGAUAUGUUGAAUAAUUUGUCUGCUUUACAUAGCUAGUCAUUGAUGGAACUGGAAUUCAGACCCCACAAGGCUGAAUUUAGAGCCUGAGCUCUUAACCACUUACCUUAUGGUUUGCGGAGGAAUGAAAUGAAAUUACUUAUAUAAAGCAUUUUAGCUUAGCAUGGUGCCCCAGCUUGUAGUACAUGCUCAUUAAAGUGUUGUGCCCAGCUUGUAGUACAUGCUCAUUAAAGUGUUAAGACUUUUCCCCAAACCACAGCUCCUUGUUAACGCCUAACAACAUAAUUCUCAGGUUUAGAUUUUGAUGAAGUUAUUUUCCAUUCAGAGAGGAGUCAGCUUUUAUCCUGCAAGGUCAGUAUUUUGUUUCCGUGCUUAACUGAACAAUCUAGUUUCAUGACUAUAGUAGAUGCUCAGUAAGUUUGUUGAAUGAGUGAAUGAAUAAUUCUCUUUAAGAAAAUUCUCAAGUACCACGCUUAGGAGGUUACUGUAUACAUUUUUGGUAUCAGUAUAGUACAAAAGUUCAGUAAAAGUUCUAGAAACUAGUCUGUCUCGGUUCAAAUCCAGCCUCCACCACUGACUGAUGAGCUGUGUGACCUUAGGUAAAUCACUGAAUCUCUCUGUGCCUUAGUUGCUUUAUCUGUAAGAAAGGGAUAAUAAUAAUCCAAAUUGCCUCAUAGUAAUGUUGUUAGAAUUAAUUGAAAUCAUACAAUUAAAACAAUUUUUGUAAAGCCCUGGUAUAUGCACUCAACAGAUGUUAGCUUUUACAACUAUUAAUUAUUUUUAUUAAUCUAUAUGUGCCCUGCCAAAAGUGGCUCCAAUUAAUUAAGCCAUGUUGAAAACAAGAUUCUCCUGUAGUAGAUGCAGAAAUUUAAGUGUGGAUUCAUGGUGACUUACCCACAUUCAAAUAUAAUAGGAUCAGAAUAAAAACUUGGGAGUCUUAGCUUGGUAGCCGGUUCCUACAUGCUUGCUUUCUUUUGUAAAAUAUAAAUUCACUUUAAGUCUUGGUAUUUGCCUUUUAACACUACAAAGAAAAAAAAACUGUACUCUUAACUUGACAGAUUAUAAAAUGUCAUUCCCACUUGGUUCCCUCUCCCCAUUUCUGUUUUCAGAUUUGCAUAUAAAUUUAUUUGAGAGGAGUCAAGUCAACUUGAUCAGGAAAAAAUAGCAUCUACCUUACUAGCAAUUAUCAUUACAACUUAAAAAAUGAAACAGUCAACAACAGUGACAACAAAAACUGGCAAUUAUAAUGUUAGCUUACAGAAUUCUAUUUUUAAAAAGGGGCUAAAACUUCUGGAAAGGUAUGAAGAGAUCUACAGACCCAUUCUUUAGUGAAACAACCAUAGCUGGUGAAAAUGAUAAAAAAACACAACCAUUUAAAGUCUCUGGAGGGACUUCCCUGGUGGCACAGUGGUUAAGAAUCCGCCUGCCAAUGCAGGGGCCACGGGUUCGAGCCCUGGUCCGGGAAGAUCCCACAUGCCGCGGAGCAACUAAGCCCGUGCGCCACAACUACUGAGCCUGCGCUCUAGACCCCGCGAGCCACAACUACUGAGGCCCCUGCGCCUAGAGCCCACGCUCCGCAACGAGAAGCCACCGCAACGAGAAGCCUGCGCACUGCAACAAAGAGUAGCCCCAGCUCGCUACAACUAGAGAAAGCUCGUGCACAGCAAUGAAGAUCCAAUGCAGCCAAAAAUAAAUAAAUAAAUUUAUUAUUUUUUAAAGUCUCUGGAAAUUGUCCUAGGAGCAUAUAGCAAAUGGAGAAAUAUUUAUUCGGCAAAAUCUAUCAAAUAUGUAAGACUAGUGAGAAUCAGUGGCACUUGAAUCAUAACCCUCUCCCUCACUCUCUCUCCCCACUAGCUGAGCUUGAAGAAAACUCUAGUCUAGGCAGGUGUGGCCAAAAAGACAGAAUUCCCAUUCCCUCAGUUCCCAUUCAAGGGAUGCAGUAUUUUACCAGAAGGAACAGGCCAACAACAUUUCUAAUCCUAUCCAACUUCACGUCACAGAGGCUAAGUUCCUGGUAAGUGCAUCCACAAAUUUGGCUACCUCUGUCUGCCAACCUUUCCUCCCCACUCCCUCCCCCACAGAGUAAAGGGUGGAAGCUUACCCUAAGCAUGGCAGUAGGAGAAUAAUGCAGCACCAAUUAUUGCCACCCCAGCCAACUCAUAGGAUGAAGAUUCCAUGCCAGAAGAGGCAAGCUGAGAAGGCCAGUGGCUACUACCCCUCCCCAGAUCUCUGCUCAUAAAGCAGAGGUGUCACUCCAAGAGAAGCAGGCCACAGUCACUGUCCAGCACCUGGAACAGUGGUUCAGAGAUUUUGCCCAGGGGGGAAGAUGCAGCCAAUAAGAACAAAGAGCUCUGAGCCUGUCCCUGAAAAGAGUUGACUUUAUUUGAAACAGAGUGAGGGGAAGUUCAAGCUUAAAGGCAUUCUCUAAAACAGUGGAGGCUUGGUGGUAAGAAAUUAAGAGAGGCUGGUAGCUCUGAGAGCAUCAAGUUAAACCAUAGGCCAGGUAGUUUGUUAGAAUCAGGAAAAGAGCUUCUAAGAGCCUUCCUGAUCUGAGAAAAAAAGCCUCAAAGACUUGCCUCAAACUACCCAUGCGUGAAUUUAAUUAGAUAAAACUGAGGAGCAGUUUAUGUCCCAGGGCAUUGUCAAAAAGAAUAGGACAAUCUCAUGUAAUUAGUGGAGCCUAACAGCCAAGUGUGGUACAAAAGAGAUAGACAACUAGACAGAGAGAUCAGAGGAAAAGAAGGUCAAAGAGAGCCCUGCUAAAACCAUUGUCAUCCCAGGAUGACUGUGUUCAUGCCAAGCCUUCACAUUAUGGGGGGUAGGAAAGGAGAAUUAGAUUUCAUUAAAGCAGUAUAGCCAAGCCACUAAACAAAUAAAUAAGUGCACGCACAUGCACACACAAGAAGCCCCAGAUGGAGAGGAGAAAAAUCAGUAUCCAGAAUUGUUGCUAUAUGUUACCUAAAAUGUCCCAUUAAAAAAAAAAAAAAAAAGACAAGACAUGGAAAGAAACAGGAAAGUAUGACCCAUACAUACAAGAAAAGCAGUCAAUAUAAACUCUGAGGGGCUAGAUCUCAAAUGUAAUAGACAAAGCCUUCUAAGCAGCCAUUAUAAAUAUAUUCAAAGAACUAAAGACACUAUACUUAAGGAAUAAGUGAAGGUAUGAUGACAAUAUCUCAUCAAAGAAUAUCAAUAAAGAGAAAAAUUAUAAAAAAGAAGCAAAUGGAAACUCUGGAGUUGAAAGUAUAACUGAAAUGAAAAAUUCACUAGAGGGACCAACAAGUUUGAAAGAAUCAGUGAAGUGGAAGUUAGAUGGAUAGAGAUUUUGCAGUCCAAAGGACAGAAAACAAAAAGGAUGAAGAAAAAUGAACAGAGCCUCAGAGAAAUGUGCAACACCUUUAUGCAUAAACAUGCACAUAAUGGGAGUACCAGAAGAAGAGGAGAGAAGGGAACAGAAAAUAACAUCACAAGAAAUAAUGGCUAGAAACAACACCCCAAAUUUGAUGAAAGUCAAUCUACAUAUCUCAGAGAUUCAAUAAAUUGUAAGCAGGAAAAACACAAAGAGAUCCACAAAGAGACACAUCACAGUAAAAAUGUUAAAAUACAAAGACAAAGAGAAAAUUCUGAAAGCAGCAGGAGAAAAAGGACUCAUCACAUAUAAAGGAAUCCCUCUAAGACUAAUAUCUGACUUCUCAGAAACAAUGGAGGCAAGAAGGCAGUGGAAUGACAUAUUUGGAGUGUUGAAGAGAAAAACUAUCAACCAGUAAUCUUACAUUCACCAAAGCUAUAUUUCACAAAUGAAGGCAAAUAAAGAUAGAUCUCGAUAAAAGCUGAGAGAUUUUAUUGCUAGCAGACCCACCUUACUAGAAAUAAUAAAGGGAGUUAUUAAGGCUGAAAGCAAGUGACUGCAGAUGGUAAUAUAAACCCUCAUGAAAAAACAACACUGGUAAAAGUAAUUGUGUAAUUAUAAAAGACAAUAUAAAUGCAUAGUUCCCCUCCUUCUACUCUUAACUGAUCUAAAAAGCAAUUGUUGGACCUAAAACAUGUAGAAAUGUAAUACAUCUAACAUAACAGCACAAUGAAAGUAGGUGAGAAUAAAGCUGUAUUGAAGUAAGGAAAUGACACCAGAUCAUAAUUUGAAUCCACAAGAGAAAAAUGAAGAGAACCAGAAGUGGUAUAUAAAAAUGUUACUAUAUCAAACUCUAUAAAUAAUAUUUUCUUUCAUUUCUCAAUUUCUUUAAUAGACGUAAGAUUAUAUUAUGCCACAUUUUUAACAAUAUAUUGUUGGUUUUGUAAUAUAUAGAGAUGUAAUAUAUAUAACAACAAUAGCACAAAAAAGGGAAUAGGAAAUAGAUAUGUGUAAGAGUAAUGUUUCUAUAUCUCAUUGAAAUUAAGUUAAUAUAAAUCAACCUAGGUUUUGAUAAGUUAAGGUGUAUAUGGUAAACCCUAGAGCAACCACUAAGAAAAUAACUCAUAAAAAUAUAGAGAAAACAAUUAAAGGAAAUAAAAUGUUACACUUAAUGCAAAAGAAAGCCAUAAAGGAGGAAUAAAGAAGAAAAAAAAGACAUGAGACAUAUAGAAAACACAAAAUAAAAUGGCAGAUGUACAUCCAACUAUAUCAAUAACAAAACUAAAUGUGAAUGCAUUAAACAAUCCAAUCAAAAGGCAGAGAUGUCAAACUGGAUUAAAAAAUAAAAAACAAGAUCCAACUAUAUACUGCCUAUAGGAGACACAGUUUAGGUUCAAAGAUAGAAAUGGGUUGAAAGUAAAAGGAUGGAUAAAAAUAUAUCCUGCAAAGGAUGAAAAAGCUGUAGUCAAUUUAAAAAGCUGAGUGGCUAUACAAAUAUUAGGUAAAAAAGAUUUUAAAACAAAAGUCUGUUAUUAGAGAUAGAGAGGGACAUUUUAUAACGAUAAAGGGCUCAAUCCAUCAGGAAGAUAUAACAGUUAUAACUAUAUAUGUACCUAACAACAGAGCUCCAAGAUACAUGAAGCAAAAAUGGAAAAACUGAAGGGAGAAACAGACAAUUCAAUGGUAAUAGCUGGAGAUGUAAAUAUCCACUCUCAAUAAUGCAUGGAGCCACUAGGCAAAAGAUCAGGAAGUAAAUAAAAGACUUGAACAGGGGCUUCCCUGGAGGCGCAGUGGUUGAGAGUCCUCCUGCCGAUGCAGGGGACACGGGUUCGUGCCCCGGUCUGGGAAGAUCCCACAUGCCGCGGAGCGGCUGGGCCCGUGAGCCAUGGCCACUGAGCCUGGGCGUAUGGAGCCUGUGCUCCGCAAUGGGAGAGGCCACAACAGUGAGAGGCCUGCGUACCGCAAAAUAAAAUUAAAAAAAAAGACUUGAACAAUGCUAUAAACCAUCUAGAUCUAAUGGCCAUCCUUGGAAUACUCCACUCAACAAAAGCAGAAUACAUAUUCUUCUCAAGUGCACAUGGAACAUUUUCCAGGAUAGACCAUAUGUUCAACCAUGAAACAGUCACUGUAAAUUUGUAGGGAUGGAAUUCAUACAAUGUUUUCUGAACACAGUGAAGUAAAAUUAGAAAUCAGUAAACACAAAGAAAUUUGGAAAAAUCACAAUUAGGUGGAAAUUAACAAACUCCUAAGUAACCAAAAUUCAGAAAAUACUGUGUGUUGAAUGAAAAUGGAGGCUCACAUACCAAAACUUAUGGGAUACAGCUAAACAUUGCUUAGGGGAAAAUUUAUAUCUGUAAAUGUCUACAUAAAAAAAGAAGAAAGAUCUCAUAUCAAUAAUCACCUUCUAAACCCAAAUCAAGCAUAAGGAAGGAAUAGUAAAGACUGGAGCAUCAAUAAAUGAAGUGGAAAAUAGAAAAACAAUAGAGAAAAUCAACAAAAUUAAAAGUUGGUUCUUUGAAAACAUCAACAAAUUUAACAAGUCUUUAGCUAGAUUGACCAAGGGGGAAAAAACUCAGAUUACUAAAAUAAACUAUAAAGAGGAGAUAUUACUACCAAGAUUCCAGAAAUGAAAAGGAUUGUGAACAUUGAAAACAUCAUGCAAAAUGAAAGAGGCCAUUUAAAUUAAAUGUCCAGAAUAGGCACAUCUAUAUAUAUAAAGAAAGUUGAUUAGUGGUUGCCUAGGGCUGGGUUGGGAAGUGGGGGAGAUGAGUCACUGUUAAUGGGUGCAGGGUUUCCUUUGUAGUGAUGAAAAUAUUCAGAACUGAUGGUGAUGCUGGUUGCACAAUUCUGAAUAUACUAAAAACUAUUGAAUCUUACUCUUUAAAUGGGUGAAAUAUAUGAAUAUAUUUCAAUAAAGCCAUUAUUAAAAGGGGAGGGGUGAUAAGAGAAACAUGCCUGUCAGAUGGCAAAGACAAUUAUAAGGAAGAGCUAGAGAAGGCUUUGUCAAUACGUGGGAUCAUAAAGUAGGAGAGGAAGAAGGUUAGUAGUAUGCAGGGUGGGAGGCUUUUGUUAGAGAAGACUUGGAAUUGGAAAUUUCACAAGUAUGCAUGCAAAGAGUUGAGGAGUGGGAGGGAGAAUCAUGGAUGUUAGGGAUUUGAGGAAAUGAAAAUAUUCUCCUACAGUACUUGCAAAUGGCACCUGCUUGCAAUGCUUUAAGUUGCAUGUUUUUCUCUUUGCAAACUGGAAAAAUUUAUAUUUGAUUUAAUAUCUACUUAUGUCCCAGAAGGCAAACUUAUUUUUUGAUGCUGAAACACAGCCAGUUGGAAUAAUUGGUUGCUUAGGCUCUGUGUUUGCACCAGACCUUGCUUUUCAUCUCAAGGAGAGAAACUUCUGGAAAUUACUGACCUCAAACCAUUUUCAUGCAAAAAUGAACCAAAUUUAAAAAAAAAUCCUUUGAUGCAAUAUGAAUUUUACAAUGAUAAAUUAAGCCUUGUCUGUCAAAGUAUAUUCCUAUGAUUUGAUCUUUGUUAAGAUGUAUUUAAAAGUAAAGGCAUUGGCCUGCUAAUUGGGAAUGAUUUUGCUUUAAAAACCUUUCAGCAAUUCCAUUUUUGAGAAUUUUAUUCUAAUUGAGUCAGCUAAACAGUGAUUGUGGUAUAAUUAGUUACUUUAGUAUUGUAGUUUCCACUUCCAUAUUUAACUGAUAUGUUCCAAAGAGUAAUUUAAACCCUUCAUCAUGAGGUGGUGAUAAAAAAAAAUGGUGGGUAUGUAUUUACAACACCAGGUUUAAUAUAAUCAUUACUAUAUGCUAAGUAGUGAGGUUAAGUGCUGGAGGUAUGAAGAUAUGAAGGUAAAUGAGAUAGAAUAGUCCCUUCCCUGCAAGGAAAUUUUCAUCUCAAGGGACAGGUUGUCCUAGAAACAAGUAAUUUCAAUACAAUGUGGGAAAUAUUAUGUUGGAUGGCAGCCAGGGUGCCCUGUGACAAAGAUGAGGGCACUAGGCAGGCAGAGGUGGGCAGGGAUAGUGGAAAAGACAGCUUGGUCAGGUGGAGAUUUUCAAAGGAGGCAAAAUUUCAAAAAUACGUGUUUGAGGCAGAAACAUACACACUUUCCUUUUCACAUCAGAAAUUAAUCUUUAUUAAAUAGCAAGUAACAUAUUAAAACAAUUUUUAAAGAAAUCAUGCCAGUGAUGCACGGUUCCGUCAGGAAUUUCUUUCUUUCUUUCUUUCUUUUUACUGUAAAUCUUAUUUUUAUUUUUUAAAUUAAUUUUUAUUGGAGUAUAGUUGAUUUACAAUGUUUUGUUAGUUUCUGCUGUACAUCAAAGUGAAUCAGUUAUACAUAUAUCCACUCUUUUUUAGAUUCCAUUCCCAUAUAGGUCAUUACAGAGUAUGAAAUAGAGUUCCCUGUGCUAUAUACAGUACGUUCUUAUUAGUUAUCUAUUUUACAUACAGUAGUAUGUAUAUGGAAGGUACACCUUCUGCUUUCCUGGGUCUCCAGAUCUUGGACUUCUCAGCCUCCAUAACCACAUGUGCCAGUUCCUUAGAAUAGAUCUCUUUUUGGCAUGGGAAGGAGCAGUAAGAAGGCCAAGAGGUUUAGAGCAGUGGUUCUCAAACAUUUUGGUCCAGGACCCUGUUGUGCUCCUAAAAAUUACUGAGGAUCCCCAAUAACUUUGCUUAUAUGGAUUCUAGCUAUAUUUGUCAUAUUAGAAGUUAAAAUUGAGGAAAUUUAAAAAUACUUACUGAUUCAUUUAAAAUUAUAAUAAUAAACAUAACACAUGUUAAUAUAAGUAAUAUUUUUAUAAAAAAUAACUAUUUUCCAAAACAAAAAAUUUUAAUGAGAACGGUAGCAUUGUUCUGCAUUUUUUGCAUAUCUCUUCAGUGUCUGGCUUGCUAGAGGACAGCUGAAUUGUCAUAGCUGCUUCUGCAUCCAAUAAGUUGUAGUGUGUUGUUUUGGUUUUAGUAUAUGAAAAUAAUCUGGCCUCACACAGAUACGUGGUUGGAAAAUGGAAGGUAUUAUAAUAGCCUUUUCAGAUAUUUGUGGUUAUUCUCUUUUGAUAGUGCAUCAAAACUCAACAAGUGGGCUUCCCUGGUGGUGCAGUGGUUGAGAGUCCGCCUGCCGAUGCAGGGGACACAGGUUCGUGCCCCGGUCCGGGAAGAUCCCACAUGCCGCGGAGCGGCUAGGCCGGUGAGCCAUGGCCACUGAGCCUGUGCAUCCGGAGCCUGUGCUCUGCAACGGGAGAGGCCACAACAGUGAGAGGCCCGCGUACCACCAAAAAAAAAAAAAAAAACUCAACAAGUGAUAGUCUUUCACAGGGUAGUUGCAAAGUGGGAUCUGAGACCGUAUCAACAAAAUAUUUGUUCUCUGGGGACACAGACAUGAGAAAAUAGACAUGAAAGCAACAUCUUAGUAUUAGGAUAAAAGAAAUCUUGAUCUCCAGACCCCAAAAAGGGUGUCAGGGUGUACGUUUUGAGAACCAUUGCUUUAGAGCAUAGUAAUUGAGGAAAUAGUGGGUGAAGGUGUCCUCAGAGAGUCCAUGUAGGAACUUGCAGGUUGUGAGGAGGACUUGGAAAUUUAUUCUGAGUAAAAUUUGAAGUCAUCGUAGGGUCUUGAGCAGAGAAAUAAGUUGGUCUAACAUCUCAGAAGUUCACUCUCUGUGUUUGUGGAGCACAGACUACAGAGGAUGAGGGUGAAGCAGAGAGGUCAGCUAGGAGGCAGUUGCAAUCAUCCAGGUGAGAGAUGACGGUGGCUUGGACACAGAGGACAUCUUGGAAUAUCUCUGGAAUAACAGAAAUGGAAGCCUAUCUUUACCUAAUGUCAUUUUGCCACUGUGUGAAAGUUGAUUAAAUGAAUUUAAGCAGAAGCCUCUAUUUUCCUUUGUGAUACUUCUGAUCAUCUACAAAGGCUCUUGAUGCCUCAAGGAAUCAAACUGUGUCAGAGCAUAAAAGAACCUUGAGGAGCAUCUUUGUCAGUGAUUUCUAAAUUAUUCUCUAAGGAGUCACGGGAUCUCUCUGAAGAUUCCAUGUCAGUAAUUAUAGAAAUUAAAGGAAACCAGUAGUGUAGCACUAGGCUCCCCCAUCUCUGCUUCGGCCUGAGCAACUUCACUUUUACCUGUUUUAUUAAUAGAGUCUUUAAAAGUCGUUUGUCCACGGAAAGCAUUCUGUGGCUAACAAACGUCUGUGAAUCAGUUGGGCCCUCUGCUCAGUCAAGGUGCAGCCUCAGAGUUCUUCUCAACGAAGUAUUCCACUUAUCUAUGAAUAACAGGUCAGAACUGGCACUUUAGGUGGACAAUGUUUGCCAUUCCUCAUGUAAGUCCAAACUUGGUGUCUUAUCACACAGCCAUCAGUAAAUUUCAAUGCCUCUCACUGACUUUACUAGUUUCUACUUUACAGCCACCCUACGCUCAUGGCUGUGUAACUGUCAUCCACAUAGAGAUCACAGAAUGGUCAAGCUAAAAGAGUAUUUAUAGAGUGUUUAGGGGUUGAAAACUCAAAUGCCUUCAGAGGACAAGUGGACAGCAGGCAAAGAGUAGAGACCAAGUGGGAAGAUGAGCCCAGAGUGUGGAUGUCUUGACUAAAAGGCAGUCAAAUUCAGAAUUUUUAAAAAUUCCGGCAAACAAUGACAAUUAGUCAACAAAACAAAUAAAAACAUUCCACAAUGCCUUAUGGGCUUUUUUCCCCCUCUGGAAUCUCAAAUUGGUUCAACUUGCUCGUUUUUCGGAGGAGUCUUUUCUUUUUAUAUAAAUUUAUUUUAUUUUAUUUAUUUAUUUUUGGCUGCAUUGGGUCUUCAUUGCUGCAUGCGUGCUUUCUCUAGUUGUGGCGAGCAGUGGCUACUCUUCGUUGCAGUGCGUGGGCUUCUCAUUUCGGUGGCUUCUCUUGUUGCGGAGCACAGACUCUAGGUGCGUGGGCUUCAGUAUUUGUGGCACGUGGGCUCAGUAGUUGUGGCUCGUGGGCUCCAGAGCACAGGCUCAGUAGUUGUGGCGCACGGGCUUAGUUGCUCCGCGGCAUGUGGGAUCUUCCCGGACCAGGGCUCAAACCCAUGUCCCCUGCAUUGGCAGGUGGAUUCUUAACCCCUGCACCAGCAGGGAAGUCCCUCGGAGGAGUCUUAUAAAGGUGCCAUGACAUGAGCGAUUGUGUAGUUUGGGGACUUACAGCUUGGAUUUUAGAGUCAGACUGACCUGGUUCGUAUCCUAGGACCACUGUUUGCUAGAUGUGUUAUCCUGGAAAUAAUGACUUCCACAAGCCUUCAUUUCCUCAUCCUCACAUCCACAGAAAGCACAUGGUCCAGGGCCAGGCACAGUAAGUGCAGUAGAGUCCCACACAACUAGUCUCGUGCAAAGCUGGAAGAUUCCCCAUCAUCCUGCGAUUUUACUUUGAGGAAGUCUAUGAUUGACUUCUGGUCUCUGAGUGCGCAUGCUCACGUGCGUGCGUGGACAUGGCUGCUAAGACAUAGCAAAGAAGAGGAUUGGAAAAAGAGGAGACCUGGGCAAGGGGACGAAUUAAGGGAUAGUUUGUGGCACGACACAAGCUUCUCUCAGCCUGAUGUUGUUUCUCGGGAGCAUCUGUUUUGCCUUAAGCAUGGGGUCCCUUUAGGGGAUGUUUUUAAAGGAAGUUGAUCUUUUCCUCAGGUUUUUCCCAGCUCUGCCAUGUGGUUCCGCAGAGGCCAGUGGCAUCCAGAGUUUGUGCACAGGCAAUACUGCCUCCUGGGAGCACCAAUUUACUGAGAAUGAAUAUGGACUGCUGAAUGGCUGUCAGGAGGGAACAAUUUUCCGUCAGUUCAAAUCUAGAACAGAUGCCCUGGAAUUAAAAAGUCAUCCUGUCUCUGGUUGAAUAGAGAAUGAAGUUUGCAAAUGUGGUUUUAAGCAUGUUGCUUGGAUGGGCUUUAUGUUGCAGUAUACCCUUCUCUAGAGUGUUAAACACUUUAUGAAUAUCUGUUGGCUCUUUGGGUACAGUAUGGUUUUGAUUAAAUUAGAUUCACAUUUCUGGAGAAAUGUCCCUGACAUAUCCAUGUAGUGUAGGUUUUCGGUACUUAAAAAGAAAUGCUUUUUUAGAGGGUCCACUCCGUCGAUUCAGGACCUUGAGACUUGCAAGUUAAUUUCUUGUAAUUAAAUCAUUUAUAAUGUGCUUAAAGGGGAGAGGCAGCAUGGUAUAACGGUAAGAGUAUGGGCAUCAAAGUCAGGAGGACAAAUCCCAGCUCUCUGCUUUCUUUCUAGGUGUCUGACUUCAUCAAGUCACUUACAUCUCUCUGAACCUCUCUUUCUUCAUCCCUUAAAUGGGCAUAAUAACAUCUCCUACUCAGGACAGGGCUGUUAGGAGAUUCAAACUGCAUAAUGUUGAGUACUCAGCUCAGUGUCUGGGAAUUAGUGGGUGCUUCUGAACACCAGAUCAACACCCUCUACUAUCUUAACAGCCUUGAUGAGCAAAAAUAAUGAAUCACAUCUGUACAGUCUGAAUUAGCACAUCAUGCAUUUAGGUGUCUUUACUUCAGGGGGAGCAAUCUUCAGUAGUUUUCUUAUCAUAUGGCAAGUUCUGGGAGGCAAGUCGAGCAGAGAACUGAGGAUGACAUCUUUUUCCCUUUCCUGGGCUUUCCAAUGAUCACUGAUGUUCUGCAUUGGAAAAGUGUAAAAUAAAAAAACAACCGCAAAGGAAAGCAAUAACUGAUGAUGCCAAACAAAUCAGGCUUGAUUCACAGUCUAGUAGAUAGAUCGUGAGAUGGGAGGCAACUACAGUGUGGGCUUAAGUCUCCUGAGAAAAUUUGAGAGUUAAGAAAGGGAAGUUUGAGAGCCCCAGAGAGAUAGGUAGAAAGGCCAAAGGACCAGGCAUAGUGGCUUCCUCAGGGUUCCCGGAACCCAGACUGCCCUGGAGAAGCACCAUCCCCGGGCUCUACCGAGAGGCGUGAGCAUGGGUGUUCUGUGUUCAUCCGUUCUGCUUGACGGAGCUGCACCUGCAGUGAUUUCUGAGCGGUACCUCCGUAACUCCUGAGCUCAGCCCCCAAUUUUAUCCCUCCCUCACCUGCUGAAAUGCUCAUAAUUGCCUUUCACGUGAAGGUGUUUUUCUAAACCAACCACCCUUUUGUCUCUCAUUAAAAUAAAAAAGAAAAAUCUUUUCAGGAGAGUUUUCCAGUUAUUACCUACUUUGCUGUGUGUCAGAUGGGUGUUUUCCAGUGAGACAGCUUGCCGAGGGUGGGGCUGAGAACACAGGGCUUGUGAUUUUGAAAGAGGAGGAUGUGGUGCCUGACGCACUAUUCUGGGAAGUCUUUUAAUAAGUGUGGUCUGAGCACCUAUAUCACAAAUCCUACCUAGACUGCUUAUUAAAAAUUCAGAUUUCUGUGCCCUACCAAAUCAAUCUUUCAGGGGCAAGACCUGGGAAUCUGCGUAUUUAAUGAACGCUUGAGUGAUUUGAUCACAGCUUCGAGAGUCCCUGCCCUGGUGGAGAAUCCCCAGGGGUGAACUACAUUAAGGUUCAAUCAGUCAAAUGUAUGACAGAUUUGCUUACAUAAUUGCCCCUAAGACAAAUUCCAUCUACUGUACCUCAGCAUCUUUGUAGAGCGCAUCCUGGUACUAUUUCUCUUCCAUGCAAGGAAUGCCUGUACCAAUGGGCUUGAGACGGAGAGGCAGGACCAGGGGGGCGAAUAAUCUUCCUUAUCCCCUCUACACUCACUCCUUAUUCUGCACUAACAAAAUCAUCACUCCCAGGUAGAAAUACACAGGUCCUUUGAUCCCAGUUGUGUUCAGUAGAGUACCACUGUGAGCAUAUCUGAAUUGUUUUGUUUGGAGCUUCAAGGGGGAGAGAAAAAGUGUUUAGCAGCUCCCUACAAGAUCAUCAGUCCAUGACAAAAAAUCUCCAGGGAGCAAGUGUUGCCACAAUCUGUUGUACAGAAACACACUAAACCCCGUUCCAAUUUUGUAAGACUGGUUUGCAUGUUCCGUAAGUUCUGUGGUGAUCUUUUGCUUUUUGUUUUGUUUUGGCAGAGCUGGAGGAAAACUAUCAUGGGGGUUAUUUCCCGUACUUUUACCAUAAAUUUUUAUUUAUCCAGCAGGAAAGACAAGAAGCAGUAGAUUGAAUAUUCUGCUCUUAAGAAAGACACAAGCAGGAGGAAGGAAACUCACAAGGCUUUUAAUGACAUCAUUUACAAAGGAAAGUCCUUAGAACCCUUCAGUGCUCCAGUAGGACUUGACUGGUUGGUAUCUGAAGGAAAUGAAUUGAUUCCUGUUUUUGUACGCAGGUGGAAAGAGCAUUAGAAGUUAUGAAUAGUGCUUUUACCUUGAUGCCUGUCCUCCAAACUUGCAAACAGAAAUAAAUGCCCUCUCUCAGAAGUAUUUUCUGAGAGAACCAGUUUAACCGAGUGAAGGGGCAUCUCUGGUGGUCUUCAUUUCUGGUUGGAAAGGAAGGAUUUUUGUAUCUUAAAACUUUUUUUAUAGAAGAGUAUGCAAGGAACGAUUUUUGUGUCUUAAAUGUUUUUUAAAGAAAAGUAGUAAUAAAGGAAUGCUGAGGUUUGAAUUGUGUAACUGCUUACAAAUAGUUUACAUGACUCUGUACAUCAUAAAUUUUCUUACAGUUUUUACCUCUACUUUUUUUUUUUUUUUUUUUUCGGUAUGCGGGCCUCUCACUGUUGUGGCCUCUCCCAUUGAGGAGCACAGGCUCCGGACGCGCAGGCUCAGCGGCCAUGGCUCACGAGCCCACCUGCUCCGCGGCAUGUGGGAUCUUCCUGGACUGGGGCACGAACCCGUGUCCCCUGCAUUGGCAGGCGGAUUCUCAACCACUGCGCCACCAGGGAAGCUCUACCUCUCCUUUUCAUAUUAGUCAGACCAAGGUCAUAGCAGAGGCUGUGCCACUUAAUUUCAUAAUAGUUGUAAAUGUAUUGAGCAUUUACUUUAUGCCAAGCAUUAUAAUAUUGCUUUAGAAGUCUGAUAUUGUAAGAAAUCAAAAGAGUUAAGUAUUCUAAUUUUUAUGUUUCAGAUAAGCAAACUGAGACUUGGAGAUGACCAAAGUUAAUCCCUUCCCAGCAAAAAGUAGUGGAAGAUCUGUAACUUGAAACUAGACCAUCUGGUUCCAAAGUGUGUGGAGUGGUCUUGGAGUCGUUGCUAAAUGAGUGGUGAAGAUUGUAAGGAAGGUGUAGAGAUGACUCAACCCUGGUGCCAUCUGAAAAGAUUUACCCAAGAGGAUAAAGUUUGGGCGGUCUGCAAGACAUGGGGGUACAAGGAGGAAGGAUCACCGGGUCAAAACCAAUCAUGACACAGCUGCUGGCGGCAGCACAACGGCUCUAACGGGGACACGUGCAA